rnacentral:rRNA from 1 species
UGGCUCAGAACGAACGCUGGUAGCGUGGAUUAGGCAUGCAAGUCGAACGGGAUCCGGGAGGUAGCAAUACUUCCUGGUGAGAGUGGCGGAUUGGGAGGAACACGUGAGCAACCUGCCCUUGGGUUGGGGAAAACCGCUGGAAACGGCGGCUAAUACCUGAUGCGGCGCCGGGCGACAUCGCCCGAGCGUCAAAGGGGGCCGCAAGGCUCCCGCCCGAGGAGGGGCUCGCGCACCAUCAGCUUGUUGGCGGGGUAACGGCCCACCAAGGCCUACGGUUAGCUGGUCUGAGAGGAUGACCAGCCCCACUGGGACUGAGAUACUGCCCAGACUCCUACGGGAGGCUGCAGUCGAGGAUCAUUUGCAAUGGGCGAAAGCCUGACAAUGCGACGCUGCGUGGAGGAUGAAGGCCCUUCGGGUCGUAAACUCCUGUCAUGAGGGAACAGGCGAUGGCACCCAACACGUGCCAAAGUUGAGUGUACUUCAAGAGGAAGGGACGGCUAACUCUGUGCCAGCAGCUGC